rnacentral:rRNA from 1 species
AUGGUGCUCUCUAGCUCCCGCCGCCCUCUCCUCCUCCUCCCCCUCGUCCUCCUCCUCUCCCUCGUCGCCGCCAUGACGGCGCUCACCUGCGCCACCUCCGAGGUCAUCGUGACCAGGUGCUGCUCCACCUCCGAGGUCAUCGUGACCAUGUGUUGCCCGCCGCCGACGCCCACCGUCAACGGCAGCUGCAGCCUCCUCUCGCUCGUCGACGCCCUCCCCUCGGCCGCCGCGCGGACGGGCUUCGCCUCUCUGUGGACCGGCGGCGCGAUCGUGCGCGGCUUCUGCUUCGGUGACACCGCGCCCGACCCGUGCCUCCGCUGCCUGUCCGACGCCAGCAGAAAGAUCACCGACCAGUGCGGCGACGCCAGCCGGCGCGCGGACUUCCUGAACGACGGCUGCUUCCUGGGCUACGCUGACACCAGCGCGUCCUCCGCCGGCACGGACGACGACAUCAGCGCGGGGAACUUCUUCGGGGACGCCGUCCCGCGCCUUGACGCCGCCGACAUGCAGAACCUCGUGGCCGUGGCGCAGUCCCUGUGCAUGCCGGACCGCGACGCACCGGAGUGCGCCCGGUGCCUGCGGGAUUCGACGCUGCAGAUGGCCAGGAGCUGGGGGGCCACCACCGGCGCCGUGCAAGGAAGCGUGGCCGCGGUCCUCGGCCCCGACUGCUACCUCCGCUUCGAGAUAUCGGCACCGCCGCCGCCCGUAGCAGAGCAGAUCCGUGAGUAG